rnacentral:rRNA from 1 species
CGGCGAGUGAAGCGGCAAUAGCUCAAAUUUGAAAUCUGGCUCUUUUAGAGUCCGAGUUGUAAUUUGCAGAGGGCGCUUUGGCGUUGGCAGCGGUUCAAGUUCUUUGGAACAGGACGUCAUAGAGGGUGAGAAUCCCGUACGUGGCCGCUAUCCUUCGCCGUGUAAAGCCCCUUCGACGAGUCGAGUUGUUUGGGAAUGCAGCUCUAAAUGGGAGGUAAAUUUCUUCUAAAGCUAAAUACUGGCCAGAGACCGAUAGCGCACAAGUAGAGUGAUCGAAAGAUGAAAAGCACUUUGGAAAGAGAGUUAAAUAGCACGUGAAAUUGUUGAAAGGGAAGCGCUUGCAGCCAGACUUGCCUGUAGUUGCUUAUCUGGACUUUUGUCCGGUGCACUCUUCUGCGGGCAGGCCAGCAUCAGUUUGGGCAGUUGGAUAAAGGUCUCUGUCAUGUACCUCUCUUCGGGGAGGCCUUAUAGGGGAGACGACAUGCAACUAGCCUGGACUGAGGUCCGCGCAUCUGCUAGGAUGCUGGCGUAAUGGCUGUAAGCGGCCCGUCUUGAAACACGGACCAAGGAGUCUAACAUCUAUG